UAGUAUGGGGAUCUGCCCGAUAGAGGGGGAUAACUACUGGAAACGGUGGCUAAUACCGCAUAAUGUCUACGGACCAAAGCAGGGGCUCUUCGGACCUUGCACUAUCGGAUGAGCCCAUAUGGGAUUAGCUAGUAGGUGGGGUAAAGGCUCACCUAGGCGACGAUCUCUAGCUGGUCUGAGAGGAUGAUCAGCCACACUGGGACUGAGACACGGCCCAG
rnacentral:rRNA from 1 species